AACGAACGCUGGCGGCAUGCCUAACACAUGCAAGUCGAACGAGACCUUCGGGUCUAGUGGCGCACGGGUGCGUUACGCGUGGGAAUCUGCCCUUGGGUUCGGAAUAACUCAGAGAAAUUUGAGCUAAUACCGGAUGAUGACGAAAGUCCAAAGAUUUAUCGCCCAAGGAUGAGCCCGCGUAAGAUUAGCUUGUUGGUGGGGUAAUGGCCUACCAAGGCGACGAUCUUUAGCUGGUCUGAGAGGAUGAUCAGCCACACUGGGACUGAGACACGGCCCAGACUCCUACGGGAGGCAGCAGUGGGGAAUAUUGGACAAUGGGCGAAAGCCUGAUCCAGCAAUGCCGCGUGAGUGAUGAAGGCCUUAGGGUUGUAAAGCUCUUUUACCAGGGAUGAUAAUGACAGUACCUGGAGAAUAAGCUCCGGCUAACUCCGUGCCAGCAGCCGCAGUAAAAC
rnacentral:rRNA from 1 species